rnacentral:tRNA from 1 species
GGAGAGAUGCGAGAGCGGUUGAAUCGGGCGGACUCGAAAUCCGUUGUGCCGGAUUCCGGCACCCAGGGUUCGAAUCCCUGUCUCUCCG